AGAACAAAGUAUUAAAUGAGAAUAUUUCAUUCAUUCAGAUAUAGGAUGUUAGUUGAGUGUUCCCUUUAUUUUUUUGAGCAGUGUAUUUCACUUCAAUGCAAUUUUCUUGUUUUUUGAGAUGUAUCUGUAGAGUUAACAUCUGUGUUUUCAAGGUGGAUUUUAAAUCAAGGCCUGAUUUUCUUUUUAAUUAAUUCUAAUAGAGGAAGAAAUACUAACUUCUUCCUUCUCCUCUUUCUCUAAAUGAUUCAGAGGAGCUUUGCAGGGUUAGAUGAGGCAAGUGAAGACAGUGAAGAUGAAUAUAUUCCAGAAACCACUGGAGAAAGCACAGACAGUGAAGCCAGUGUGGAAUUAAGUCUGGAAAAAGGUCCGAAGGAUAAAACUAUGUCAUUUAGUCAAAAUAGAAGCAAGUUUUGCAGGCAGAGUAAGAGUGAGUCCAGUCAGACUAGAAACUUUGAAAGUCAUGAUUCCAGAGCCACUACAUAUAAAGAUGAAAGGGCCCCCCUGGAGGAAGAAUCUGUUUAUGUUGCUCCUGUUUUGAAGAAGGAAGAUGGAUCCAGGACCUAUAAUAAGAAACACCACUGUGUGUAUUGUGGAGUAUUUGUUCAAAAAAUGUCAAGACAUCUAUUGCGCAGACACAUGGAUAAAAUAGAGGUUGCAAAAGCCUACAGUUUGCCAAAAAACUCAAAACAAAGACGACUCCAGUUGGAUUAUUUGCGAAAUAAGGGAAACUUUGAGCACAACACUGAAGUUAUGGAAAGUAACCAAGGCAAGCUCAUUGCGUGGAAACAACCAAAGAAGAAAACAGAAGGGGAAAUAUUCAAACAUUGUUUGUACUGCUAUGGACUGUUCAAAAAAAAGGCAAUGUGGCGACAUUUCCAGUCCUGCAAAUUCAAGCCUCAAGAUAAGUCUUUGAAAAAGGGGAAAACAAGAGUUCAAGCAUUGUGUGCAUUUGCUGAACCAGUUCCACCAGAGUUCAGUGAUUCAUACUGGAGGUUUCUAAGUGAGAUGCAUCAAGAUGAGAUUACAGUUGCAUGUAAGAAGGAUCAAUGCAUACUAGAUUUUGGAUACAGAUUGUUCCACAAGAAUGAGAGGGUAGUCAGCCAGCACCAAUACAUCCGUCAAAAGCUAAGAGAGCUUGGCAGACUGCUACUUGAGGCAAGAAAUAUUGCUUCUGUGAAGAGUAUUAAAGAUCUCAUAAAGCCUGAAAAAUAUGUUACAGUUGUCGCUGCUGCAAGACGUCUAGCUGGAUUCAGUGAAGAAAGUGGCAACUAUCAACGACCAUCUCUCGCUCGAAAAGUUGGUCACGACAUGCAUUCUUUAGCCAUGUUCAUUAAGACGGAAGGACUGAAGAUGAAGGAUAAGGAAGCUGUGCAAAACGCAGAGGAGUUUGCACAACUGUAUCAAGAAAGUUGGAAAUAUGAUAUUAAGAUCCAGAAGCUUCUGAAGAGACACCUUGUAUCCCCACAUCCAGUGGCUUAAGUCAGGAAAACUUGACCAAAAAGAAAGUCACAAAUUCAGAUGGGCUGAUGCCAGAAGUCAACGAAGUGACCUCUUGUACCCCCACCUCUAGCAGCCAAAGUAACGAAAGGUCUGCCAAAAAGAGUGGUAAAGAAAAAGUUGUGAAAAGAAGCUGGACCCCAGAGGAAUGUGCUGCUGUAAAUAAACAUUUAAGGAAGUACAUAUUGACAAAUCAGGUUCCUGGUAAGCUUGACUGUGAGAGAUGCAUUGCUGCAGAACCACAAGCACUGAGUAAAAGAGACUGGAGAGCAGUUAAGUACUUUGUCAAAAACAGAAUAACCACCAUGAGGAGAAAAUAUGAGUGACAGAGCUUCCCUGAACAGAGGUAGAAACACAUGGCUGGUCCUGUUUCACCAGUUCUUUACUAUUUGUUUGUAAUUUUUAUGGACAAAGUUCAAACAAAGUAUAUUUCAGUUUAUUGAUACAUGUUCUGAGGAAGAAAUAUGGGAAAUGUUUAAAUGGCACAUUCAGUGCUAAAAUGUUGAAAUAAAACAUGUGCAGCUCAAAAUAAAGUUCCUUUAUUCAGUGGC